rnacentral:rRNA from 1 species
GAUGAACGCUAGCGAUAGGCUUAACACAUGCAAGUCGAGGGGCAGCAUGGUCUUAGCUUGCUAAGACUGAUGGCGACCGGCGCACGGGUGCGUAACGCGUAUGCAACUUGCCUCACAGAGGGGGAUAACCCGUCGAAAGACGGACUAAUACCGCGUACACUUGGGAUAGGGCAUCCUGACCCAAGGAAAUGAAAUUCGCUGUGAGAUAGGCAUGCGUCCCAUUAGCUAGUUGGUGAGGUAACGGCUCACCAAGGCGACGAUGGGUAGGGGAACUGAGAGGUUGAACCCCCACACUGGUACUGAGACACGGACCAGACUCCUACGGGAGGCAGCAGUGAGGAAGAUUGGUCAAUGGGCGAGAGCCUGAACCAGCCAAGUCGCGUGAAGGAUGACUGUCUUAUGGAUUGUAAACUUCUUUUAUACGGGAAUAACAAGAGCCACGUGUGGCUCCCUGCAUGUACCGUAUGAAUAAGCAUCGGCUAACUCCG